rnacentral:rRNA from 1 species
GACGAACGCUGGCGGCGUGCCUAAUACAUGCAAGUCGAACGCACUCUCGUUUAGAUUGAAGGAGCUUGCUCCUGAUUGAUAAACAUUUGAGUGAGUGGCGGACGGGUGAGUAACACGUGGGUAACCUGCCCUAAAGUGGGGGAUAACAUUUGGAAACAGAUGCUAAUACCGCAUAAAACCUAAACACCGCAUGGUGUAGGGUUGAAAGAUGGUUUCGGCUAUCACUUUAGGAUGGACCCGCGGUGCAUUAGUUAGUUGGUGAGGUAAAGGCUCACCAAGACCGUGAUGCAUAGCCGACCUGAGAGGGUAAUCGGCCACACUGGGACUGAGACACGGCCCAGACUCCUACGGGAGGCAGCAGUAGGGAAUCUUCCACAAUGGACGAAAGUCUGAUGGAGCAACGCCGCGUGAGUGAAGAAGGUUUCGGAUCGUAAAACUCUGUUGUUGGAGAAGAAUGUAUCUGAUAGUAACUGAUCAGGUAGUGACGGUA